UUAAUGUUUCUCGGAGAAAGUUAGUGUCGUACUGACCUUCAAUCAUCAGAGUUUGAUGUAAAAAUCGACUGCAUUUAGAAUUUUAUCAUAGCAGUGUGUUAAUUCAUUAAAGGAAAGCAAUGAAGCAAGUUAAAUCGUAACUUCAUACAUGCUUAAUAUCGUAAACUUGAAGCAUGUGCCUGUUGCAGUCCUGAUGGGUACAUUAUACAUUAAUAAUUUGUAUGACAUGGCAUUCACCAAUGCAGUCAGAUGAAAAUGUGGCUCAAACUAUUGAUGGAUGCCCCCCCGCUCUUUUACCUGUACCCUUGUUUGUUUCUUAAUAACUCUGUACUUAUGUGUAUCAAUCUGACUAUUGUUUUUCUUCAUUUCUUCCUUCGUAGAGAAUUGGAGCGUGUCCUUGCAGCCAUUGCAUAUCAAUGCAGUCGAAAUAUAGUAGGCAAUCAAGAUGCAUUUUAGCGGUGAUAUGCUUAUGAUCUUAUGGAUGGAAGCCCUAGAGUUCAAUUGCCAGGACUUUUUUCACAAGAGUUAGGAUCAGCUGGCCCCGAGUGCAAAGAACUUCAAGAAACAACAAAGAGUUGUUGAUGGAUAAUUCAGCCGGCUUGCUUCUCUGUUUGCCAAUUGUUUGGAGCUACGAGGUGUCCUAAAUCUCUAGUGCAAAAACUAU